UCCCGGAUCCUUCUUGACCCAUGGCAGAGGCGGGGGACCCACAGUCCCGGGCACUGCGUGCCCUUGGGGUUAAGCCAUUUUCGUGAAUUUUCCGGAUGGCCGGAUGCCCUCAUCCGAACCCGACAGCUAACUCCGCAGGUGUGAGAGGCGAU
rnacentral:sRNA from 2 species